rnacentral:rRNA from 1 species
UACAGAGGGGGCGAGCGUUGUUCGGAAUUACUGGGCGUAAAGGGCGCGUAGGCGGCCUUCUAAGUCGAACGUGAAAUCCCCGGGCUCAACCCGGGAACUGCGUCCGAUACUGGGAGGCUUGAAUCCGGGAGAGGGAUGUAGAAUUCCAGGUGUAGCGGUGAAAUGCGCAGAUAUCAGGAGGAACACCUAUUGCGAAGGCAGCUCGCUGGGACGUAACUGACGCUGAGACGCGAAAGCGUGGGGAGCAAACAGG